CAUAUAUGUAUUUGGUAAUGAGGGAAUUUUUAUGUACGUAUGAGAGCCUUAGGAUUUUUUCUCGUGACCAAGCGGCGAUAACUUCGUAUUCUUAUGCCAAUCUAGGGUGGCGUUUGUCCUCCGCCUUUAGCCGCUUUGGUCUUGGCUAGUUCAUCUACAGGUGACAUCAUCCAAGCGGUGUCGCGUGGCCUUCGACCCUCAUUUUGCUUGCACCUUUAGGCUCGACGAGAGUAGACGAGUAACGGCGGCUGCGAAACCCUCUUUGGUUCCUUCCAAUCUCUGGUUGUUCUAGCAGGUGAGGCUUCUUACUGUGGGUGUCGAAGUCGUGGGCUCUCUUUCUCGGAUUCCAGGUGGUUGGAUCCCGGAGAAUUGGAUGUGGGUCGAGGGCGGAUUCAAUCUCCCUAACUUCGGGCACUGGGCAAGUGAUUGGAGGGCAGCAUUAAAUUUCCUCUAUAGGUCCUUCGAAGAUCCAAGUUUCAGCGGCGGCGUUGCGUGCCGGCGUCAGUGCAGUUCGACUACGGUGAGUUCAGAUCGAACUCGUCGGCGUUGAGUUUGCUCCCAACCAGAUUCAUCUGGUUUUUUGGUGGUUCGCUGUUACAGGAGAGAUGGGGUGGUGGCAAUACCGGCAGCCAAAGAAUAAAUGUAAAUUGAGUGUAUGCAUGAUAAACAUCACAGUACCAUAUAUAUAACAAGUUUGUCUUUUGAAUCGAUAUUCCAAUAACAAGUAUGUUAGGUAGAAUAUUAUUUCUUGUGUGUGUGUGAAGCUGUUCGGUGAGAAAUAACUAGGCAAUAUAAUUUUGAGUUUGGACUUUUGAGAACAAAAGAUAAAGAGA